GUUAAAGUGGCAGAGACCGGUAAUUGCAUAAACCUUAAACAUUUACUCUCAGAGGUUCAAAUCCUCUCUUUAACA
rnacentral:tRNA from 1 species